UAGCAGAGAGGCCACCAAUCUCUCUGUCCACAUGUACUCCCCAUCACACAUGCAGCAAUUUCUUCAAUGUCUGCAACACAGCCGUGGGAAUAAGUCCCUGGCAGCAGAGGUAGCUGUCCAUGUCCACUGUCAGCCCCAAGAUCACCAACUCACAGCCACAAACUGGACUCCUACCCUGAAGGGGGGCACUCACCAGUACUGCCUGGAUCUCUUGGGCUGCAAGAAGCAGCAAGGCAUAGCUGCCAGCCCCAGGGUUCCCAGUGCCGAUUCCGACACUGUGAAGAAGCCCUUGGCAGUGACACUGUGUGCUCAUUAUGGAGAGAGGGAAAAUGUUUAGAUCCACUUUGCAGAUUUAGACACAUGGAAAUGCAGCAAAACUGCAGCAUUUCAUGCUUCUGGGAAACUCAGCCUCUUGGUUGUGUGAAGAUCAGUUGUGUGUUUUAUCAUAGCAAACCCCGUAAUAUCAAUGGACUUUUUUUGCCACCAAGUAGCAAUGUCACACUACAAAAAGAAACCCAGGAAGGAAUUCUGCCCCCUGCCCAGAGUCAAGAACCUCUGAAACCUCAGGAGAAUAUUUCAAGACCCAUUCAUCCUCCAUUGGUCAUAACUAUUAACUUUGAAGAAGAGGAGGAUGAGGAAGAUGAAGAUGAAGAUGACAAGGAGAACAAUGCUUCUAGUUUGUGGACAAAGACUCCAGAGGAAAUUGAAGAAGAAAGGGCCAUAAAAGAAAUGUGCUAUAAGUCUGGUGAAUACUACAGAUUUCACACUCCUCCAGACAUUUCAGCAAAAAGCAUAACAUCAACAGUGGAAAAAGAGUUAGCAAAACCCUUGGAAAAUGGCAAUGAAUUGCAAGAAGGGGAUGGUCUAACAGUUCCAACGAAGUUCAAUAUAUUUGAAAGACAAGGUGAGAUAAAAGCAUCAUUGGAUGGAAAACCAAGAACUGACCUUGCUGCUUUUGAAAAUGGAGGGGGUGACUGUUAUGUACCACAAAGGAUCAUAUUUCUCGGAGUGGAUGAAAGUGAAGCUUUAACUGAAGAGAACGAAUUCAUGAUGUCAAAAGGUUCAAACGGUAGUAAAGAUAUCAAGGACAGUUCUCAUCCAAAGCGUCCGGUGACUACAAGACCAGUACCUACAACACACGUAUUAAAUGCUACUGAGAAUAUCAACACAAAAUGCAAAGAGGAUCCUUCUUCAAGUGAGAUGUCCUUGGUGAAUGAUGCUCAGUCAGCGAGGAAACCUAACUUUAAAGGGGUGAAAAAAAAGAAAUGGAUUUAUGAGGAACCAAAGAAUCCCCAAGGCACAGGGACAAGGAAAGCAGCACAGGCUCCAAACCCCAAAAACAAAAUGAGCUACCAACGAAAUGAUAAAAACAGGAACACGGAGAAUGCAUCCUAUGUUCAUGUUCAGAGAGAAACCGUAAGGAGUGUUUCAUUGAACUCACCAGCACGUGGUAGGCCAACAAAUGGAACUUAUAACAAAGUCAAUGUUAACAAGGAACCCAAACUCAACCUCUGUCCAGACAAAUAUACCUCAACAUCCUAUAAUGCUUCAACAUGGAGAAAAAGAAUUCCUUUUUCAAAAACAUACUCAAAAACUGAAAAGAUAUAUUCAGAUAUAGAAGGCAAGGCACUGAUGCUACGGGGACAGAUAUUUUCGGUAAAGAAUAUCUGAAGUGAAUGUGGUUAAGGCAGAAGACACAAGGAAGAAAAUGUAUGUAAAAAUGAAGAAUUGCUCAUCAAGCAAGCCACUUCCUCAUUAAGCCACAGUUCUCAAUGCUUCAGUCUUCUAGAGAGACACAACCCAAGAUGAGAAAGAAGACAUACAAAUGAAUCAGCAUAUAAUGCUUUUAUGUUUGUGAAGUGCUUUACCUAUGUUCUCUCGAUCCUUACAGUCACCCUAUAAGGCACUAUUCUGAGCUCUGGAAUACAAAGAGUCCCUGUUCUCACGGAAUGGGGAAAACAACAUGCAGACAAAUACAGUGGCAUCUACUUCUUGGGGAGUGAAGUUGAUGACUUUGAACAGUCCUGCCCCAGUUCAUUCCAAUUCACUGAAAUAUCAAAUAUCACCUUUAUGAUGUCAUUGGUCCUCUAUGCAAGAAGUUCUGAUGUCUACCAUUUAUA